rnacentral:rRNA from 1 species
GACGAACGCUGGCGGCGUGCUUAACACAUGCAAGUCGAACGGAAAGGCCCGGCUUUUGUGGGGUGCUCGAGUGGCGAACGGGUGAGUAACACGUGAGUAACCUGCCCUUGACUUUGGGAUAACUUCUGGAAACUGGGGCUAAUACCGGAUAGGAGCUCCUGCUGCAUGGUGGGGGUUGGAAAGUUUCGGCGGUUGGGGAUGGACUCGCGGCUUAUCAGCUUGUUGGUGGGGUAGGGGCUGACCAAGGCUUUGACGGGUAGCCGGCCUGAGAGGGUGACCGGCCACAUUGGGACUGAGAUACGGCCCAGACUCCUACGGGAGGCAGCAGUGGGGAAUAUUGCACAACGGGCGGAAGCCUGAUGCAGCAACGCCGCGUGCGGGAUGACGGCCUUCGGGUUGUAAACCGCUUUCGCCUGUGACGAAGCGUGAGUGACGGUAAUGGGUAAAGAAGCACCGGCUAACUACGUG